AUUGAACGCUGGCGGCAUGCCUUACACAUGCAAGUCGAACGGCAGCGGGGGAAAAGCUUGCUUUUCCUGCCGGCGAGUGGCGAACGGGUGAGUAAUACAUCGGAACGUGCCCUGUAGUGGGGGAUAACUAGUCGAAAGAUUAGCUAAUACCGCAUACGACCUGAGGGUGAAAGUGGGGGACCGCAAGGCCUCAUGCUAUAGGAGCGGCCGAUGUCUGAUUAGCUAGUUGGUGGGGUAAAGGCCUACCAAGGCGACGAUCAGUAGCUGGUCUGAGAGGACGAUCAGGCACACUGGGACUGAGACACGGCCCAGACUCCUACGGGGGGCAGCAGUGGGGAAUUUUGGACAAGGGGCGAAAGCCUGAUCCAGCAAUGCGGCGUGUGAGAAGAAGGCCUUCGGGUUGUAAAGCACUUUUGUCCGGAAAGAAAUGGCUCUGGUUAAGACCAGGGGUCGAUGACGGUACCGGAAGAAUAAGGACCGGCUAACUACGUGCCAGCCGCCGCCGUAA
rnacentral:rRNA from 1 species